AAAACAAAGUUUUAUUAGUUGUUCAUAAUAAAAACAAUCAAAAAUAUUAAACCACUACCAAAAGAAAAAUAAUUGUUACUAUAGAAACUGUAUAAUAAAACACUCUAUGAAGAACCCAACGUCAUUUUAUUAAAAUUACAAAGAUGUUGAAAGCAUAAAUGUGUCUUUAAAUCUUAAAAGUUUUAACAUAUACUUUAAUACAAUAUAUUUCAAAGUCUCACUUAAUAUUCAAGUGGAAUAUUUAAUUUAAAUAUAUAUG
rnacentral:lncRNA from 1 species